rnacentral:rRNA from 1 species
CCUACGGGUGGCAGCAGUCGAGAAUCAUUCACAAUGGGGGAAACCCUGAUGGUGCGACGCCGCGUGGGGGAAUGAAGGUCUUCGGAUUGUAAACCCCUGUCAUGUGGGAGCGAAUUAAAAAGAUAGUACCACAAGAGGAAGAGACGGCUAACUCUGUGCCAGCAGCCGCGGUAAUACAGAGGUCUCAAGCGUUGUUCGGAAUCACUGGGCGUAAAGUGUGCGUAGGCUGUUUCGUAAGUCGUGUGUGAAAGGCGCGGGCUCAACCCGCGGACGGCACAUGAUACUGCGAGACUAGAGUAAUGGAGGGGGAACCGGAAUUCUCGGUGUAGCAGUGAAAUGCGUAGAUAUCGAGAGGAACACUCGUGGCGAAGGCGGGUUCCUGGACAUUAACUGACGCUGAGGCACGAAGGCCAGGGGAGCGAAAGGGAUUAGAUACCCGGGUAGUC